ACAACCAUUUCAAUUCCUUUUUUAGUAAUAUUCAAGGGCUUGGUUGUGGUGGAUGAGGUGAUGUAUACGCUUGUUAAAUUACCUCCCCACCGAAAUUCAGAGGCGGCUUGUCCCCACGUGUUUGUGGCGUUGUAAAAGCUCUUCAGUACUUUCCGCUUGCAAUCGUGGGUUCAUGGCUUGCCGUUUGAGAAACCCCCCAUAUAUCAAA
rnacentral:misc_RNA from 1 species